GGAGAGAGCUGAAACGGAAGGAGUAGAGUCGGAGGACGACGACGGGCGAGAUGGCGUCGAUUCGGCGGCGAAGCGAGAAUCAUCAGCUCUGAAAGAUGGGUCGUUGAUUCAAGACUUGUAUUCUUCGCUCCAUCCGAAUUCUGUCACCAUCAACCUUGGACUCCCUGGUUUCAUAGCCUACUCUUCUCACAAGCAAAGCCCUCUUCUUCCUCGGUGCCCAACCAAGGUAAUUUGACAGUGGAACAUACUCUAUGUGGCCAUGAAAACCCUACUUCUUUUCUCUUUAUAGUCUUGACAACUCCGUGAUAGCGACAAAAUGGACCCGCAUAUGGAUUGUUGCUUCUCAUAUCAACUGCGAUUCAUCGUCAUCAAUUCAUUUCAUGAUCAAGCAUCGUCGUUGCCGAUCUCCGAGCAUGUUUCAUUCAAGUUACUAAUUCUAACUAGUUGAAGCGAUCUUCUGAUGAUAUUCA